rnacentral:miRNA from 1 species
UGGUAAGUAUCCCCGCCUGUC